rnacentral:rRNA from 1 species
GACCUGGCCGGGCGGUCUGCCUCGCGGCAUGUACUGUCUGGCCGGGCCUUACCUCUUGGUGAGCCGGCAUGCCCUUCACUGGGUGUGUCGGGGAACCAGGACUUUUACCUUGAGAAAAUUAGAGUGUUCAAAGCAGGCCGUCGCGCCUGGAUACAUUAGCAUGGGAUAAUAGAAUAGGACCGCGGUUCUAUUCUGUUGGUUGGCAGGACCGCAGUA